GACGAACGCUGGCGGCGUGCCUAAUACAUGCAAGUCGAGCGAAUAGAUGGGAGCUUGCUCCCUGAUAUUAGCGGCGGACGGGUGAGUAACACGUGGGUAACCUGCCUGUAAGAUUGGGAUAACUCCGGGAAACCGGAGCUAAUACCGGAUAACAUUUCGAACCGCAUGGUUUGAAAUUGAAAGAUGGCCUCGGCUAUCACUUACAGAUGGACCUGCGACGCAUUAGCUAGUUGGUGAGGUAACGGCUCACCAAGGCAACGAUGCGUAGCCGACCGGAGAGGGUGAUCGGCCACCCUGGGACUGAGACACGGCCCAGACUCCGACGGGAGGCAGCAGUAGGGAAUCUUCCGCAAUGGACGAAAGUCUGACGGAGCAACGCCGCGUGAACGAUGAAGGCCUUCGGGUCGUAAAGUUCUGUUGUUAGGGAAGAACAAGUACCAGAGUAACUGCUGGUACCUUGACGGUACCUAACCAGAAAGCCACGGCUAACUACGUGCCAGCAGCCGCCGUAAGAC
rnacentral:rRNA from 1 species